GAGGUAUCGGGGUGCUAUACAUGCAGUCGAGCGAAUGGAUUAAGAGCUUGCUCUUAUGAAGUUAGCGGCGGACGGGUGAGUAACACGUGGGUAACCUGCCCAUAAGACUGGGAUAACUCCGGGAAACCGGGGCUAAUACCGGAUAACAUUUUGAACCGCAUGGUUCGAAAUUGAAAGGCGGCUUCGGCUGUCACUUAUGGAUGGACCCGCGUCGCAUUAGCUAGUUGGUGAGGUAACGGCUCACCAAGGCAACGAUGCGUA
rnacentral:rRNA from 1 species